rnacentral:rRNA from 1 species
ACGACUCUCGGCAACGGAUAUCUCGGCUCUCGCAUCGAUGAAGAACGUAGCGAAAUGCGAUACUUGGUGUGAAUUGCAGAAUCCCGUGAACCAUCGAGUCUUUGAACGCAAGUUGCGCCCGAAGCCACUAGGCCAAGGGCACGUCUGCCUGGGUGUCA